rnacentral:rRNA from 1 species
UUUUCGUAGGUGAACCUGCAGAAGGAUCAUUG